CCCAGACUCCUACGGGAGGCAGCAGUGGGGAAUAUUGCACAAUGGGGGGAACCCUGAUGCAGCGACGCCGCGUGGGCGAGGAAGUAUUUCGGUAUGUAAAGCCCUAUCGGCAGGGAAGAAGAAAUGACGGUACCUGAAUAAGAAGCACCGGCUAAAUACGUGCCAGCAGCCGCGGUAAUACGUGUGGUGCAAGCGUUAUCCGGAUUUACUGGGUGGAAAGGGGGCGCAGACGGCGAUGCAAGCCAGGAGUGAAAGCCCGGGGCCCAACCCCGGGACUGCUCUUGGAACUGCGUGGCUGGAGUGCAGGAGGGGCAGGCGGAAUUCCUGGUGUAGCGGUGAAAUGCGUAGAUAUCAGGAGGAACACCGGUGGCGAAGGCGGCCUGCUGGACUGCAACUGACGUUGAGGCCCGAAAGCGUGGGGAGCAAACAGGAUUAGAUACCCGGGUAC
rnacentral:rRNA from 1 species